rnacentral:rRNA from 1 species
AGCGAACGCUGGCGGUAGGCCUAACACAUGCAAGUCGAACGGCCGCACCGUAAGAGCUUGCUCUUACGGGUGGCGAGUGGCGGACGGGUGAGGUAUACAUCGGAAUCUACUUUUUCGUGGGGGAUCACGUAGCGAAACUUACGCUACUACCGCAUACGACCUACGGGUGAAAGCAGGCGCUCUUCGGACCUUGCGCGAUUGAAUGAGCCGCUGUCGGAUUAGCUAGUUGGCGGGGUAAAGGCCCACCAAGGCGACGCUCCGUAGCUGGUCUGAGAGGAUGAUCAGCCACACUGGAACUGAGACACGGUCCAGACUCCUACGGGAGGCAGCAGUGGGGAAUAUUGGACAAUGGGCGCAAGCCUGAUCCAGCCAUACCGCGUGGGUGAAGAAGGCCUUCGGGUUGUAAAGCCCUUUUGUUGGGAAAGAAAAGCAGCAGGUUAAUACCCCGCUGUUCUGACGGUACCCAAAGAAUAAGCACCGGCUAACUUCGUG